AUGUAUAGUACUAUUUCUCUUGGAAUGUUGCAUAUAUCCACAAGUGUCCAUUUUCUUGUAGAAUGCUGCAUACCUGGCUACCUGCACAUCAUGCAAUUGGGCAGUACUAAUAUCAAGGAGCGCAAAUGCUACACAGGAUCUCCAAUGGUCAAAACCCCAGUCUCUGACCCACCUACCCCGUGGAGACCAAGGAAGCUGCUAUUUUGGAAGCCUUUUUUUGGGGGGUCAAACUGGAGCCCUCCAGGGAGGUUGAUGGCUUCAAAAGCCUUUUUGGAGUUACAUCUCGUUGAGUAUAUUGAUUAUUAA
rnacentral:rRNA from 1 species